GGUUUCUGCUAAGUCGCAAGACGAUGUAUAGGAGCUGACGCCUGCCCGGUGCUGGAAGGUUAAGGGGAUCUGUUAGAGCAAUCGAAGCAGUGAACUUAAGCCCCAGUAAACGGCGGCCGUAACUAUAACGGUCCUAAGGUAGCGAAAUUCCUUGUCGGGUAAGUUCCGACCCGCACGAAAGGCGUAACGAUUUGGGCACUGUCUCAACAACAGACUCGGUGAAAUUGUAAUUCCGGUGAAGAUGCCGGAUACCUGCGACAGGACGGAAAGACCCCAUGGAGCUUUACUGUAGCUUGACAUUGGGUCUUGGUACUACAUGUACAGGAUAGGUGGGAGGCUUUGAAACCAGGACGCCAGUUUUGGCGGAGCCAUCCUUGGGAUACCACCCUUGUAGUACUGGGACUCUAACCAUAGGCCAUGAAUCUGGUCUUGGGACACUGUCAGGUGGGCAGUUUGACUGGGGCGGUCGCCUCCCAAAAGGGAACGGAGGCGCUCAAAGGUUCUCUCAGUACGGUCGGAAAUCGUACGUAGAGUGUAAAGGCAAAAGAGAGCUUGAUUGCAAGACAUACAGGUCGAGCAAGGAUGAAAAUCGGACUUAGUGAUCCGGUGGUUCUGCGUGGAAGGGCCAUCGCUCAACGGAUAAAAGCUA
rnacentral:rRNA from 1 species